AGAGUUUGAUCCUGGCUCAGGACGAACGCUGGCGGCGUGCUUAACACAUGCAAGUCGAACGGUAAGGCCCUUCGGGGUACACGAGUGGCGAACGGGUGAGUAACACGUGGGUAAUCUGCUCUGCACAUCGGGAUAAGCCUGGGAAACUGGGUCUAAUACCGAAUAGGACCACAGGACACAUGUCCUGUGGUGGAAAGCUUUUGCGGUGUGGGAUGGGCCCGCGGCCUAUCAGCUUGUUGGUGGGGUGAUGGCCUACCAAGGCGACGACGGGUAGCCGGCCUGAGAGGGUGUCCGGCCACACUGGGACUGAGAUACGGCCCAGACUCCUACGGGAGGCAGCAGUGGGGAAUAUUGCACAAUGGGCGAAAGCCUGAUGCAGCGACGCCGCGUGGGGGAUGACGGCCUUCGGGUUGUAAACCUCUUUCACCAUCGACGAAGGUCCGGGUUUUCUCGGGCUGACGGUAGGUGGAGAAGAAGCACCGGCCAACUACGUGCCAGCAGCCGCGGUAACACGUAGGGUGCGAGCGUUGUCCGGAAUUACUGGGCGUAAAGAGCUCGUAGGUGGUUUGUCGCGUUGUUCGUGAAAUCUCACGGCUUAACUGUGAGCGUGCGGGCGAUACGGGCAGACUUGAGUACUGCAGGGGAGACUGGAAUUCCUGGUGUAGCGAUGGAAUGCGCAGAUAUCAGGAGGAACACCGGUGGCGAAGGCGGGUCUCUGGGCAGUAACUGACGCUGAGGAGCGAAAGCGUGGGGAGCGAACAGGAUUAGAUACCCUGGUAGUCC
rnacentral:rRNA from 1 species